rnacentral:rRNA from 1 species
GACGAACGCUGGCGGCGUGCUUAACACAUGCAAGUCGAGCGGUAAGGCCCUUUCGGGGGUACACGAGCGGCAAACGGGUGAGUAACACGUGGGUGACCUGCCUUCGAGUGGGGGAUAACGUCCCGAAAGGGACGCUAAUACCGCAUGACAUCCUGCCUUUGAAUAGGUGGAGAUCAAAGCUGGGGAUCGCAAGACCUAGCGCUCAAAGAGGGGCCCGCGCCUGAUUAGCUAGUUGGGGGGUAACGGCUCACCAAGGCAUCGAUCAGUAUCCGGCCUGAGAGGGCGGACGGACACACUGGGACUGAGACACGGCCCAGACUCCUACGGGAGGCAGCAGGUGGGGAAUUGUUCGCAAGUGGGCGCAAGCCUGACGACGCAACGCCGCGUGGAGGAUGAAGACC